GUGGGGAAUAUUGGACAAUGGGCGAAAGCCUGAUCCAGCCAUGCCGCGUGUGUGAAGAAGGUCUUCGGAUUGUAAAGCACUUUAAGUUGGGAGGAAGGGCAGUAAGUUAAUACCUUGCUGUUUUGACGUUACCAACAGAAUAAGCACCGGCUAACUUCGUGCCAGCAGCCGCGGUAAUACGAAGGGUGCAAGCGUUAAUCGGAAUUACUGGGCGUAAAGCGCGCGUAGGUGGUUUUGUAAGUUGGAGGUGAAAUCCCCGGGCUCAACCUGGGAACUGCCUCAAAAACUGCAUGACUAGAGUACGGUAGAGGGUAGUGGAAUUUCCUGUGUAGCGGUGAAAUGCGUAGAUAUAGGAAGGAACACCAGUGGCGAAGGCGACUACCUGGACUGAUACUGACACUGAGGUGCGAAAGCGUGGGGAGCAAACAGGAUUAGAAACCCUAGUAGUCC
rnacentral:rRNA from 1 species